rnacentral:rRNA from 1 species
UCCCUUUUGGCCAUAAGUUUGCACAGCUCGCUCGCUCGCGCUCAUGCACGCGACUAGACUACUCUAGCUAGUUAGUCCAUGCGGCCGGAAGGUUUUGGGCGAAAGGGAAUCCGGUUCUUAUUCCGGAACCUCCACCCGGAGACGGUGUUACCCCUCGCCUAAAGGUACUCCUGGCGACAGGAGGAAACCUGCUGCUGCCGGCCGCGGUCCAGGGAAGAGUUUUCUUUUCUGCUUAAGAGGUCUUGGCCCUGGAAGCUACUUGCAAGGCGAGAGGGCCUUAUCAA